GAAAGCUGUAUGCGUAGAAAUGCGCCUGUACAGUUUGAGAAGGGGGCAACAGAAAAGGUCCGUCAGGAACCUCGCUGGUGCCCUACUUCAU
rfam:Ktedonobacter sp. 13_1_20CM_3_54_15 13_1_20cm_3_scaffold_11650, whole genome shotgun sequence.